UACGUAGGGGGCAAGCGUUGUCCGGAAUUAUUGGGCGUAAAGAGCGCGUAGGCGGCUCGGUAAGUCCGCUGUGAAAGUCCAGGGCUCAACCCUGGAAUGCCGGUGGAAACUGUCGAGCUAGAGUCCGGAAGAGGAGUGUGGAAUUCCUGGUGUAGCGGUGAAAUGCGCAGAUAUCAGGAGGAACACCGAUGGCGAAGGCAGCACUCUGGGACGUGACUGACGCUGAGACGCGAAAGCGUGGGGAGCAAACAGG
rnacentral:rRNA from 1 species